UACGGAGGGUCCGAGCGUUAUCCGGAAUCAUUGGGUUUAAAGGGUCCGUAGGCGGGCCUGUAAGUCAGGGGUGAAAGUUUGUGGCUCAACCAUAAAAUUGCCUUUGAUACUGCAGGUCUUGAGUCAUGGUGGGGUUGCCGGAACAUGUGGUGUAGCGGUGAAAUGCAUAGAUAUCACAUAGAACACCGAUCGCGAAGGCAGGUGACCAACCAUGUACUGACGCUGAUGGACGAAAGCGUGGGUAGCGAACGGGAUUAGAUACCCCGGUAGUCCACGCCGUAAACGAUGGAUACUAGCUGUGGGGACGCAAGUCUCCGUGGCCAAGCGAAAGUGAUAAGUAUCCCACCUGGGGAGUACGUUCGCAAGAAUGAAACUCAAAGGAAUUGACGGGGGCCCGCACAAGCGGUGGAGUAUGUGGCUUAAUUCGAUGCAACGCGAAGAACCUUACCUGGGCUUGACAUGCAUCUCUAAGCGCGUGAAAGCGCGUGACCCUUCGGGGGAUUUGCACAGGUGCUGCAUGGCCGUCGUCAGCUCGUGUCGUGAGAUGUUGGGUUAAGUCCCGCAACGAGCGCAACCCUUGUGAUCAGUUGCCAGCGCGUCAUGGCGGGAACUCUGAUCAGACUGCCCAGAUCAACUGGGAGGAAGGUGGGGACGACGUCAGGUCAGUAUGGCCCUUACGCCCAGGGCUGCACACGUACUACAAUGCCCAGUACAAUGGGAACCGAGGCCGCGAGGCGGAGGAAAUCCACAAAACUGGGCCCAGUUCGGAUUGGAGGCUGCAACUCGCCUCCAUGAAGUCGGAAUCGCUAGUAAUGGCGCAUCAGCUACGGCGCCGUGAAUACGUUCCCGGGUCU
rnacentral:rRNA from 1 species